GGGCCGGUAGUUCAGCCUGGUAUGCUGACGAGAAUGGUCAGGCCGAAGAACGUCCGGUUUGCAACCGGAAGGUCGCGGGUUCAAAUCCCGCCCGGUCCACCA
rnacentral:tRNA from 1 species